GCCGUGAAAUAGGUAGAAUACAACAGGUAAUGCCAAUUUAUACAUGAGACAUAUGGGCCUCUAAAACCAAAAUAACCGCUUGAACACUGAACAUAGGCCGACAAGGCCAUACGAUCUUUUAUGUACAUGACAUUUGUCUACAAGCCUCUAAGAAUACAUAAUUUUCAUAAUGGUCGGGACAGAAUCCCGCCAUACCAAACAAAACACAUCUAACUCAUACUAACCAAACAAGCAACUCCAACGCAAAUGGAGCACAUCAACAUCUUCCGCUGAGCUGAUAGCCUAAUUGGAGGGCUCUCGACCUAUCUAUUGGGACCUGCGAGCAUGAAACACAGUGUCCCCAUGCAAAAAGGGACGUCAGUACGAAUAAUAUACUGAGUAUGUAAGGCACAUAAAUAAGUGCAUAACAGACAUGGAGGAAAUAUCGAGUAAAUGACUUCACCUGUAAGUCUGAAUAACUUUGUAAAUCAUGAAAUAAUUAUAGUAUCAUGCAUAUGUAUAUGAAUGUCAUGUCGUGCAUAGGUACAUGUUUCAUAACAUCAUUAGCCUCUGAGGGCAUCCCAUCAUAUCAUCUUGGCCAUUAUGGGCAAAAUCAUCAACGUAUACCAGCUGAUCAGGUGGUGGUGUGUAUAUAACGCCAUAAUCUUUCUCAUACCCCAUAUACAUAUAUAUACACACAUAUAUAUAUACGCGUAUAUAACACCAUCUGGUCAUGGGUCAAUGUACAUGAAUGCAAUGCAUGAAAAGUACAUUAAUAAAAUCUUUCGGAAUAUUAUAAGACCAUUUUGCCUUUGGGUAAUAUCAUAAAGUAAACUCUUUUCAACUUUCGUAUUUUCUGAGACCUAUGAACAGAUGAUAGAAUAAUAUGACACAUGGGGAAUCAAGAAUAUAGGCACCCCUAGUAUUUCUAUGAAUAGAGUCAUUUAUGAAAGCUGCAUAUUUUACUCGUUUCAUUUGUAUCGUAUGGAUCAUGCCAAAAGAAAGAAGGGAUAGCCUUAACAUACCUGAGUCGAUUCUCUUGACGAUCCUCUAAUACACGGAACAAAUC
rnacentral:lncRNA from 1 species